rnacentral:rRNA from 1 species
AGCUCCGCAAGUGUAUAUCUAUUUUGCUGAGUUUAAAAAGCUCGUAGUUGGAUCUGCGUGUUCAGCGCCCGGUACGGUCUCUGGCCGUCACUGGAACGCGACACAUCGAAUGCCGGUGCGCCGUCGAUGCUCUUCAUCGGGUGUCGGCGGUGGCUGGCGAGUUUACUUUGAACAAAUUAGAGUGCUCAACGCAGGCGUUUCGCUUGUAUAUUUCUGCAUGGAAUAAUAGAAUAGGACCUCGGUUCUAUUUUGUUGGUUUUCGGAAGUGAGGUAAUGAUUAAGAGGGACUGACGGGGGCAUUCGUACUGCGACGUGAGAGGUGAAAUUCUUGGAUCGUCGCAAGACGCACUACUGCGAAGGCAUUUGCCAAGAAUGUUUUCA